UAGCUGCCAUAACUCCGAGCUCUAAUGGCUAAGUUAUAAAUGCACAUCCGUUAAUCGUAAAGUGUUUUUAUGAUAAGCCACUUGAGCCAGUGACAUGUUGUCACAAGGGCUGAAUUGGAAAUGAUUCUGCCUCCCGUAUUUGGAAAGGUGUUCCGUGGCACAACAA
rnacentral:ncRNA from 2 species